AACCGGAUUAGAUACCCUGGUAGUCCACGCCUAAACGAUGUCUACUAGUUGUCGGGUUUUAAUUAACUUGGUAACGCAGCUAACGCGUGAAGUAGACCGCCUGGGGAGUACGGUCGCAAGAUUAAAACUCAAAGGAAUUGACGGGGACCCGCACAAGCGGUGGAUGAUGUGGAUUAAUUCGAUGCAACGCGAAAAACCUUACCUACCCUUGACAUGUACGGAAGACUGAAGAGAUUUGGUUGUGCUCGAAAGAGAACCGUAACACAGGUGCUGCAUGGCUGUCGUCAGCUCGUGUCGUGAGAUGUUGGGUUAAGUCCCGCAACGAGCGCAACCCUUGUCAUUAGUUGCUACAUUUAGUUGAGCACUCUAAUGAGACUGCCGGUGACAAACCGGAGGAAGGUGGGGAUGACGUCAAGUCCUCAUGGCCCUUAUGGGUAGGGCUUCACACGUCAUACAAUGGUACAUACAGAGGGCCGCCAACCCGCGAGGGGGAGCUAAUCCCAGAAAGUGUAUCGUAGUCCGGAUCGCAGUCUGCAACUCGACUGCGUGAAGUUGGAAUCGCUAG
rnacentral:rRNA from 1 species